UGGUGGAGUGAUUUGUCUGGUUAAUUCCGAUAACGAACGAGACCUCAACUUGUUAACUAGAGGGGUAAGUGUGCGGGCUGAUAACUCGCAAUUGUAAUUCUUCCGAAUUACCCUCUCUUCUUAAAAGGACUUUUCGCGUCUAGCGGAAGGAAGUUUGAGGCAAUAACA
rnacentral:rRNA from 1 species